GUGGGUGUAGCUUAGUUGGUUCAAAGCGCCUCCCUGUGGAGGAGGAGAUCGCGGGUUCGACUCCCGUCACUCACCCA
rnacentral:tRNA from 3 species